rnacentral:rRNA from 1 species
GUGGACCCUCCUUCUAGACUCCAGAAGAUCGGCUUAACGGGUGAUUCCGCGUGGGAAAUCUGCCGAGUAGCGGGGGACAACGUUUGGAAACGAACGCUAAUACCGCAUAACAAUGAGAAUCGCAUGAAUCUUAUUUAAAAGAAGCAAUUGCUUCACUACUUGAUGAUCCCGCGUUGUAUUAGCUAGUUGGUAGUGUAAAGGACUACCAAGGCGAUGAUACAUAGCCGACCUGAGAGGGUGAUCGGCCACACUGGGACUGAGACACGGCCCAGACUCCUACGGGAGGCAGCAGUAGGGAAUCUUCGGCAAUGGGGGCAACCCUGACCGAGCAACGCCGCGUGAGUGAAGAAGGUUUUCGGAUCGUAAAACUCUGUUGUUAGAGAAGAACGUUAAGUAGAGUGGAAAAUUACUUAAGUGACGGUAUCUAACCAGAAAGGGACGGCUAACUACGUGCCAGCAGCCGCGGUAAUACGUAGGUCCCAAGCGUUGUCCGGAUUUAUUGGGCGUAAAGCGAGCGCAGGUGGUUUCUUAAGUCUGAUGUAAAAGGCAGUGGCUCAACCAUUGUGUGCAUUGGAAACUGGGAGACUUGAGUGCAGGAAAGGA